UACGUAGGGUGCAGGCGUUAAUCGGUAUUACUGGGCGUAAAGCGUGCGCAGGCGGUCUUUUAAGUCAGAUGUGAAAUCCCCGGGCUUAACCUGGGAACUGCGUUUGAAACUGGAAGGCUUGAGUGUGGCAGAGGGGGGUGGAAUUCCACGUGUAGCAGUGAAAUGCGUAGAGAUGUGGAGGAACACCGAUGGCGAAGGCAGCCCCCUGGGCUAACACUGACGCUCAUGCACGAAAGCGUGGGGAGCAAACAGG
rnacentral:rRNA from 1 species